UGUGUGUUAGUGGAAGCGUCUGGAAAGGCGCGCGAUACAGGGUGACAGCCCCGUACACAAAAAUGCACAUGCUGUGAGCUCGAUGAGUAGGGCGGGACACGUGGUAUCCUGUCUGAAUAUGGGGGGACCAUCCUCCAAGGCUAAAUACUCCUGACUGACCGAUAGUGAACCAGUACCGUGAGGGAAAGGCGAAAAGAACCCCGGCGAGGGGAGUGAAAAAGAACCUGAAACCGUGUACGUACAAGCAGUGGGAGCCUCUUUAUGGGGUGACUGCGUACCUUUUGUAUAAUGGGUCAGCGACUUAUAUUCUGUAGCAAGGUUAACCGAAUAGGGGAGCCGAAGGGAAACCGAGUCUUAACUGGGCGUUAAGUUGCAGGGUAUAGACCCGAAACCCGGUGAUCUAGCCAUGGGCAGGUUGAAGGUUGGGUAACACUAACUGGAGGACCGAACCGACUAAUGUUGAAAAAUUAGCGGAUGACUUGUGGCUGGGGGUGAAAGGCCAAUCAAACCGGGAGAUAGCUGGUUCUCCCCG
rnacentral:rRNA from 1 species